AUGAACGCUGGCGGCGUGCCUAAUCCAUGCAAGUCGAGCGAACGGACGAGAAGCUUGCUUCUCUGAUGUUAGCGGCGGACGGGUGAGUAACACGUGGAUAACCUACCUAUAAGACUGGGAUAACUUCGGGAAACCGGAGCUAAUACCGGAUAAUAUUUUGAACCGCAUGGUUCCAAAGUGAAAGACGGUCUUGCUGUCACUUAUAGAUGGAUCCGCGCUGCAUUAGCUAGUUGGUAAGGUAACGGCUUACCAAGGCAACGAUGCAUAGCCGACCUGAGAGGGUGAUCGGCCACACUGGAACUGAGACACGGUCCAGACUCCUACGGGAGGCAGCAGUAGGGAAUCUUCCGCAAUGGGCGAAAGCCUGACGGAGCAACGCCGCGUGAGUGAUGAAGGUCUUCGGAUCGUAAAACUCUGUUAUUAGGGAAGAACAUAUGUGUAAGUAACUGUGCACAUCUUGACGGUACCUAAUCAGAAAGCCACAGCUAACUACGUG
rnacentral:rRNA from 1 species